AUGGCUCAGAUUGAACGCUGGCGGCAUGCCUUACACAUGCAAGUCGAACGGCAGCACGGGGGCAACCCUGGUGGCGAGUGGCGAACGGGUGAGUAACAUAUCGGAACAUACCCUAGAGUGGGGGAUAACGUAGCGAAAGUUACGCUAAUACCGCAUACGAUCUAAGGAUGAAAGUGGGGGAUCUUCGGACCUCAUGCUCAUGGAGUGGCCGAUAUCUGAUUAGCUAGUUGGUGAGGUAAAGGCUCACCAAGGCGACGAUCAGUAGCUGGUUUGAGAGAACGACCAGCCACACUGGAACUGAGACACGGUCCAGACUCCUACGGGAGGCAGCAGUGGGGAAUUUUGGACAAUGGGGGCAACCCUGAUCCAGCAAUGCCGCGUGAGUGAAGAAGGCCUUCGGGUUGUAAAGCUCUUUUGUCAGGGAAGAAACGGUGAGUUCUAAUACAGCUUGCUAAUGACGGUACCUGAAGAAUAAGCACCGGCUAACUACGUG
rnacentral:rRNA from 1 species